AGAAAACUAGCAGCCUAUACAGAUAUUAUUAAACUCUCUUCCUCCUAAAUUUUCCGUCAUGCAGUGACGCUCAUGCACUAUCCUUGGCAUGCCAUUGCAAGUCAGUAAAACUGACAUUGCUGUGGCAGUUUGCCAGUGUCAUGCAGAUGUCAUGGAUUCAAAUAUAAAACGGGUAAACCAUGGGAACCUACCAUGCGUUGCUAAUAUAUUAGACCUACAGGAUAGUUUAAAUACAUGUUGGAUGAUGAUCUUUUGCAGGUAUGGCAUACAUUUGUCCAAAGUCUUGAUGAGAUACACAACGCUAAGGGGAAAUGAAGGCAAAAGGAUGCUACCCUUGAAACAACAGAUGUCUAAUGAACUAAACCAUGGACCAGCACUAGUCCUGAGGCCUUGGCAUGAACUGCUACAUACACAGCCCACUGGCAAAGUCCGGUUUAGAUCUUUAUGAACCAGUAUUAUAUCUCAGCCAGUCACUGAUGUGGAAGCAGGUCAUAAUGUCAUAUGCAAUGCAGACAGCUAAUGCUCACUGCUGUAAGAAUUGAACUCAGCCCAAUCUUCAUCUGUCAAGUGGGAUGUAAUGUUCUUGCUUUUCCAAUCAUAAAAGGUUGCAAGUGCUCUUUCAUGAAUCUUCCCAAGCAGGCAAGAAUUCCAAUUCCAAUGGUUUAACUGUCAUUAGCAAUAAAAGUGUACUGACUGAAAGGAAUUUUUUUUAUGUCAGUGGUGGCAUCCUAUUAUAGUAAAUUGUUAGGAAGGAAAGGAAAAAGAGAAUUAAAACUUGAUCUUAAGAACUGCUUAUCUGCCUUUAGACCCGGGAAUGUUUUAACAAAAUGUCUUUCAAGGUUUUGUUUGUACUACCAUUUAGGCACAUGAUUAGCUAUUCUGCUAGUUCUAAAGAAAUCAAUAAGAUAUCCUAUGAUACUCCUAUCUAUAGGAGCUGUAUAGCUAGCUACAGAUAUUUUCAACAUAGCUAUCUGAGUAGCAAUUGAAUUUUUGCAUUUCCUUUGAACAUAUGAAGUAAUUAGGUAUUGUUUGAUCAUGGGCACUUGACAAUAUGUUAGGAAUAUUAAUAGUAAUUUAAAGUUGAAGGGUUUUUUCUGGUUUAGGACAAAUAAAACCUACAAGAUUUUUUAGAAUUUCUGAUAAGAGCCAAUUGUUUAGGAAGAUCAAACAGCUACAUGUCUGAAUUGGAGCAGAGAGUUUCUAUUCUUGCCAUUAAUUGACUCACUUUCAGUUUGAGGACAUAAAUGAGAAAACUUGGUUGUUUUUAGAGAAAUGGCAACCCACAAGCAUGAAUGAAGGUUUGCUUCACCUGUUGCCAUCAGGUCCAGAAAGGAAAACUAUACUGCGACUGUUUUCUGCAUUAGGUAGUCGUAUGUCUCUGGCCAGCAAUGUACCUGAGCAACUGAAAAACUUCCUGGGAAUUUAUUAAUGGCAAGUGAGGGGAAAAAAUAAGUGAUUACUUCUUCAGUAUUGCAUUAAAAAUGGCUAUGGAAAGAACUGAGUUUACAGCUCUCAGACAGUCUUCCAGCUGUAAGCCUUUCCCAGAGGUAGCUGGUUUCUCUUUUUGCUUUACAAAUAUUCCUAAUCAAAGCUGAAAAAUCAAUCUGGUCUGCCCUGUUUAAGAAUAAAUACAAUGUAUGAUAGGGGAUAGAGCUAACGUAUAAUAAAUAGGCUGGCUUUUUCUCUUCUGUCCGUUAUGAAAGUCUAGUCAGAAGCAGCAACUGCAAACAAAGGGAAUUGCUACCAUUUCCUCCUUUUUUUUAAUGAAAGUGCAGAAACUGUGAACACAGAGAAAUGCUCAGUCCCUUCUGCUCCCGUGACAAUCUGCCAUCCUUCACGACUGGGUAUAGUCACAUUGUGAAACCAUUGGUGAAUCAGAGAGGCUGUGCCAUAACACUGAGUGCAGGAGGAUUAGCAAACAGAAGCUGGGUUUCUGCCUGAGAUUUUCAAGGCUAGUUUCAGCACAUUACUCUUUAUUCUAUACCUACUAUCACUCAAAGAGAUUGCCAGUGACAUUAUCACACAGGUAACACUGUAUAUUGUACCUUCACAGUACAUUUCAGAGGAUGAGGUAUAAAAAUUCAAUCAAAUAUUCGGAAGUGAGGACAUGGUAUGACGAAAAAGCCAAGAAGUACAAUUUGUCUGAUAAAUUGCAAUCAUAUUUCCCAUAUCAUGCGAUCAUGGUGAGUUUUAUGGAGUCCAGCUAUUAAGUAACAGCCAAAAGUCAGACACAUGCACUCAUGAAACAUUGGAUGCUCUUGUGGGGUAUUUUCACUGAAUUAGCUACAACUACAAUUAAAAUAGUACUUGACCUGAUGUUAAAUUAGAUUAUAUUCAAAUUCUUAAAGGAAUUAUCUCAAAUACCAAUUUUAUUCCAUGACCCACCAUGCAAUUAAAAGAUUUAAUAUCACAUCCAGACUGUAAUCCUAAAUGCUUGAAAGAAGAAGAACAAAAAUUUUUUUUACAACUUCUAUAAUUAAUGAUAAUUAAUAAGAAAGUUAAAGAAAUCUCAUUUGCCUUACAAGUAUUUGAAGUUGAUGAAGUAGAAAAGCUUGAUUCACUCUAUACUGCAUAAAACCACAGAAAUGUUUAGCAUUAAUUUUAUGAAGCAGUGUUAAAACUGAACUUGCUGGAAAGUGAACCCCUGCCCUGACACAGAAGAAUCUGAUAUGCUGCCAGUCACAUUGCUGAAUUCUUUAGACCAUCACCUUAAGCAAUCACCUCUUAAAAGGAACAUGCAUUCCAAUUACAAUCUCAUAUUUUAUUUAUGACUAUGAGAAAAAUAUAAUGGUUCACUGCUAUUUACACUUAGAAAUAUGUAUCUUAUUAAACACAUUCAGAUACUAACUCUUUUGAAAACACAGAUGUCCACAUGCAUUAAUGAAAACUUAAGAUUUCAGAUUCCAAAUUUAGUAUAGGUGUGUGGUUUAAAUGCUUCCAAAAGUCAAAUUAUUUUUCUCUUUGUCCUGAUGAACAAUUCACUAUUAGAAGUAAUUUAAAAUUGAUUACCCAAACCUUAUUUUGAAUGCAUGUGACUCCAGCAAUAUAAAGCAGUUCCUGCUUCCCAUAAUAGCUAAAGAAGUCAAUAAACUAAACUAGUAGGCUUCCAGUAAUGAACUGCUUCUAUUAAUUUAUUUCCAGUAGUUCACAAGGCAUACUAUAAAACCAAAUAUCAUCUUGUUUUGUUUUAGCUAAGAAUUUUGGGAGACUUUUAUUUAUAUAUUCCAGUAUGUAUUUGCAUUUUUUGUAAUAACAUCAUGUUGUUCAGAUAUUGUCCAGCCUAAAAUCCGCUAUGAUUCUGAAAUAUUUUUCUGCAGCACCUCUGCCUCACCUGUUGUUCCUCACCUGGACAUCUGUAGAUGCUAUGCUGGCACAAAGGAAGUGGUGUUGGUGCUCAGUUUAGUUUUUCUCAGAUCCUUUUUAUUUCUAAGCUUCUUUUUGAAUGUGUUUACAAUAGUUGUGUUUGCAAAUUUAUUGAGUGUAGUCUUUAUUCAGGUAAUUGCUGAAAUUACUGAAAAGGACAUGGCUGAACUAAAACCUUUUGCAGUUAUUCCAUCCAAUACAUUAGUCGGUUUUGAUAUUGAACCAUUGUUAACCUGGAAAACUAUGUUCAGAAAGAACUUUCACCUAUGUAUGUUGUAAUUUCAUUUAUGCAGCUAUGCUACCUUGGUUUUUCCAGUUACCACAGCGAUAUCAAAGGGUUAUAACCAGUACCGAAAGAACACAUCUUUGAGUCUUCAAAUCUAAUGCCUUUACUUUGUUUAGUUUGUUGAAUUAAAGACAGCCCUUAGGAGAUGUUAGGGCAAUUUAUCAGUUUUUAAAAGGAAGCACUUUAGCUACUGUGUACACAAAGCACCAAUGCCUACUUAAUUAAUAAUCUAUAGAUGUGAUUUAAAGAAAUACAGAUGCAUUGCUUAGUCUUUAUUGCCCUCUUGCAGGAUUUCAGUCAGGAAACUGUUCAGCCAUACAGAUUUCAUUACUAAAAAAAAAAAAAAAAAAAAAAAAAAAAAAAAGAAAAGAAAAGGGAAAAUCAGUUUGUGUAAAAGCUCCUAGCAUAGGAACAAAAGGACAAGAUUAGUUUUUCUUUGUCAAUUUUUUUUCAAACGCUGUUUUUGCUUUGUCUCUUUUCUACAUCGUCUGUUCGGCCUCACAGACUCCCUCUGGUGGUUAGCGAGCAAAAGCAUCGCCUCGCUUGGGGCCGCAUACAAAAUCGCAAAUCAAAGGCUGAUUCAUUAGCAUUUCUCGCUCUAACAGUAAUUAAGAAAUUAUACAUUUAUUAAAGUAUUAGGCCAUGUGUAGCCUACUUACUAGAUCAUAACAUGCUUUCUGAGCUAAAACUAUUUAAAAAAAUCUAUAAUGAUUCCCUUUUUUUUCUCAAAUUCUUUUGGGGUUUGGAAAGUGAGAAAGAGAGGGUACAACUAACCAGCAAGUUAAUAUCGCAAAAUAUCCGUGCUAAUGAUCCAAAUAAAACAACUAAUUUAUAAUUUCAGGUAAAUGACUUUUAACACUUGUCUUUACUUUGGCAAAAUUCUCCCAUAAUCUGGAUGUGUCCUACUCUCUCGCAGCUGAUGCUCCCUUUUCCUACCCUAGGUGUGGAUGUGGAUUUUGUCUUGAUCCAGAUAUUGUAAACUAUCAUGGGAGAACUUCUGGAUCAAAUCUCAGUAGAUACAGCCCUCUUUUGAGCAGAUAUCCAGCCAAUUUUUACUUUACUUUAUAUUUUAAAGAUUUUAAAAAAUAUUUCCGUAAUCAGUAGAGAGAAAAGUCUCCUCUAAACACACAAGAAAAAGAAGCUAAUUUUUUUUAAAUUAGAGAAUCAAUAUUAAUGAUUUUAUGUGGCAAUUCUUUUUAUUAAAACAGAAAUAUUUGAAACAUAAAGACACAAAAAAAGUUUGCAGAAGGCAACUCCAGAUCAUAGGUCAUAUGCUUGGCAAGUCUAUUUUACCUAUGCAGAUGAACAGAAUUAAGACUAAACUGAGGUCAAGCUUCUAGUAAUUAUUGUCUUUUCAGAACUUCUUGUGGUUUAUAUACCUGUAUUUCAUUUCCAAGAAACAGCUAAGUACAGUGAUAGGGAAAAACAGAUAUUGAGUCAUAAAUACAUGUUUUUAUGAUCAUUCUGACUGAUAAAUACAUAUAUUAUGAAUGUAAUAAUGUUGAAACUUGUUGUACUGCUUGUGUUUAUGCUUCUUAUAUUGUGUACAGAAAAUCAGAAAGAAUUAGAUCUUAGCCAGAAAUGUGCAAAAAAGUAAAAAAACUUCCACUCUUGCUGGAUAUGAGCAUGGUUAGGGCACAGGAAAAUAUUCAAGACUAUUCUCUCCUGUCUGCUCUGCAAAUCUUAUAUCUUUCAAGACUUAUUCAUUGUAAAUGGUUUAUCCAUAUCCCUAAGAUGCGCUUUAUUCAGCUCAUUAAGAAAAAACCUCUAGAGCACCUCAUAAUCAAUCAUGUGCCUGACUGUAUAUAUAAAAUCUUUUUAUCAAACUAUAUUUAUGCAUAAGGUAGAUAGAGUAGUAACUAGAUUAAUUGACACAUUCAGCUAUGUAUACUUGGUACCUACUCCAUAGCAACUGCUGUAUGUAAAGACUGGGAAGCACAGUACCUCCUGAUGAGUGUUCGUUUAUAGGAAAUGCCAACAUACCUUAGUAGAUCAAAUACUUAGAACAUGACGUUUUCCAGACUCAAACAUGGAUGUAAUUUUUGGAAAAACAUUCUUGAGGCUAUAACUGGUCUUGAAGUGUGUCUUCUGGUGAUAGAGGAUUAAAAAAGUAGGUGUUAUUGAUAUGAACAAACUCUCCAUAGUUUGUGACUCCAGGGAGUUCUUAAAGUAUGCGCAUUCAUUUUCAACCCUCUUCACACAUUUCACAGUAGUUUGUCUUCAGCACUGAGGAGGUACCCGCUUUCCAAUGUAUCCAGAAAAAACGGUCUCAGGUAAAGUAUGACUGUUGAAACAAAGAUGAUGUUUAUGAUGGUCAGUCAAGGUUGUGUAUAUGGGCACAAAAUGGUGUUUUACUGAUGGAAACUUAUGAAUGUAAUUGCUCUGACUUAAUUACUAUGUGGAAUAUGUUGAGAGAAUUUCAGCUUCAUUUUAAGUCCUUGAUAAUAGCAUAUUGUUCUCUACUUCGCAGAAAUAGAGCUGAAUUGUUGAAGAAAAUAUCGAAUUUAUUACACAAUUUUUGACACAAAAUCUUUCUCCUUUAAAGAUGACUAAUAAAUACAAAAAUAAACUAUUUAUAUGACUGUUAAGUCAAUGUAAAUGGCCAUGAGUUAGUUUGGUAUUGGUUGAUUCAAGUUUGUCUACAUUAGGUUUUCCACAGUGUUUUAAUUUGAGUAGUGCUCAUUAAACAGAUAAGAGAAAUGUGCAUUUGCUGGUUUCUUUUCAAUAACCUAACAUAGCAAAAAUUUCAAGUAUUUAAAUUUUCCUUCAGAAUUUUUACGAUGAAAUGUGUACUAUUAGGGCCUAGUAUAGAUUUAUUCCAAGCCAAUAUAAAUACAAACCUAUUCUCUUCAAUCAUUACUAUAUAAUAUUAUGUCUCUUCUUGAGACAUAGAUUUUUCUAUGGUGCUGCAAGAACCUGUAAAAUUGCAAGCAUCUUGCUCUCAGAAAACAUCACAAUAUAAAAUAAUAGGAAGAAAUGCAGUAAGCUCAUGAAAUGAAACCCCUGAAGUACUUUAGUUUCAUUAAUAUCCAUUUGGAUAAGCUCUGCUAAGAAUUUAAACAACACUACUCUAGGUUCUCUGCAUCUCAGAAAAAAUAUAUUUUAUCUAUCGAUUAUUUUUCCUACACGAAAAAAAUCUGAAGAGUUAAUUUUAUCUCCAGAAAACUGAUAGAUGCAACUGAUGGGUAGUGGUCUUGACUACUAUAUGGUAUUUUUGGCAAGAAUAGCAAAAGAGCAUAUUUCAUUAAUAAGGUCACCCUUUCACAACUGAAACAGUUUAUUGAAAAUCAGUAUGUUCUCAUAUAGAUAAAAAUAGCUGUCAAUUCACUACAAAUGCAUCUUUUACAUAUUUUUCCUUUAGAAGUCUUCAAUAGAAAUGUACAAAAAAUAAUAUGAGAAAUAUGACUAAAGUAAUUGGAAAGUGGAUUUACUCCUUAGUUUUUGUAGCUGUAUUUUCUCUUUCUGUUCAGUAUUUCAGUUUUAAAUCAAACAUGGGCUACCAUAACAAAACUAAAAAUCUUGCAUUUUAAUUUACAUUAUCACAUUAAAUUCUUAAAUGAAUAUGUAAAUAAAGGCUGAGGAUUUCCUUAGUAAGUAGCUUUUUAUAAAAAGUCAAAACCCAGAUACAAAAUUGAUAAAAACUGACAAGGCUUCAGCUAAGCCAAAUUUUACCAGUGAUAGUCUUCAAACUCAGUGAACCUAAAGGUCAAACAUUGUUAAAAAAAUAGGAAAAGAUUCACAAAGUUAUGCAAAUUCUAUAGUCUACUAACCUGAUGCUGUGAUUGACUUGUUCCUGGAAAAUUACUUGUGGGCUAUCAGUGGAAGCUGAACAUAAUUAGAACUAAAAAAAAAUAUUCUUUUUAAAAAACAGAAGUUUCAAAAGCUGGUUUCUGUAAUGUUUGUAAAAGGGGAAAAAAAUAAAAAUAUCAAGAAUCCAGCCAUAUAAAAAUGAGUUACUUUGCUGUGUUUUUCAUAUCAAAAUCAAACUAAAAGUCAAAAGAAAAUCAAUAUUAAAUAUGCCAAAGAAAAUAGUGAAAUAAAAUCUCUUCCGACAGACACACAGAGUUUGUCACUGUGGUUAAUGAAAUAUGAAAUGGCCCUAUUUGCAUGUUGAUUUUCACAGGUCAUGAUUCCUUGGAGUGAAACACCUCAAAAAUAAUGUCAUGAGGGGAUUUGAUUGCCAAAAGCAAACACAGCUUCUUGUGCUGGGCUGAUGACACAGAGAACUGAGCUGCGCAUAGGACUGACAGGAAAAGUGAGGUGCAUAAAAGCACAAAAUAUGGAUGCUCCACAAUUGAGUCUACUUUCAAUGCUUCUUUAAAUUAACUUGUAUAAACCUGUGGAUUCUCUAAAAGUGGUCAUUGUAAACAAAGGCACAUCACUGUUUUCCUUCCAGGAGGAAAAGUGUAGGAAAUCUUUAUAUAUUGGAUCAAAUUUUUCCCUCAAGUUCCACCACCAGGUGGACGCCUGUGAACCUGAACAUCCUCCAGCAAGGACUGCUAGUCUUCAAACACGGGAAAGUGUCUGCAAAAGAAGAGAGAAUACAUUGUUUUCCAUAUGCACAUACAAGAGAGGAGCAUGCUUAAAUCACUGCACUAAAAAUAUAAGCAAACAAUAGCAAAGAGCAUUCUGGUUGUAAAUGAUAACUGAUCACUAAAAGAGUAUCUAUAAAGGUGGUGGGGCUUCCAUCAAUGGUAGCAUUUUAGGAUAAAUAGACAUUUGUGAAAAUUGAUUAUUUCAGAAACUGGUUAUAUCAGAAAACUGAUUUCUGUUUGCCUUCUGAGAUGCAGGGCAGUUUGAUCAGGAACUCCUCCAGCAGAACCCUCUGUCAUGGUGCUUGCCUGUGCCCAGUCGGUCUUGGGAGAUGAGGGAAGAAAACUUCAUCUAUAUUUUUUGUAAACUUCAAAUAAACUCUGAGUAAUAACAUCUCCCGUGAAAUCUCAGAAAAAUGAAAAACAGAAUCAGUUUAGUGAUCUGUCUCUGAAUGAAGCCCUCUCCCAGAGCAAAUUAAAACACUGCACAGCUGCACCUGAAUCAAUAAGCACCAACUCAGGCAGCUACAAAAACCAAUAAAAAAGAAAAGUCUGGCUCAAACAAAACCAAGCUCAAGCUACCUUCAUCCACUGCAGUAAAAUGUUUCACUAAUUACCUGAAAGUAGACCCAGUCUCUGUUUUGUCAGAAAAAAAAAUUGCAAGAGCUGACAACAGCACUGAAAACUGGUUUCUCCAAAGCAUUAAGAUCUAUGGCAACUAUGGAAUGAAUUUGCUGUGUUGAAUUUGUCAUUUUGAUCUCUAUAUUUUAAUGUCCUUUCCUUGAAUUCUGGACACAGGCGAAGUCCUAGCAGUACUAAAGUGGUGGGCAGCACACAAACCUGUAAAAGAAAACAAUCCUCUAGUCAUCCCCAGAACUUUGUAACUGAAAUUAAUUUUGUCAGGCUGUUUAACUAGAAGAUAGGAGUCAUGUUUUGUAAAGCAGACAGGAUCUGUUGGUAAUUCUAAUAGUAAUUCUAAUGAAACUAUUAAAUCUGCCUUGAAUUUUUUGUUUCCUGACUCACAAUUUGUAUGAUGGCAGUCUGCCAGACAAAAUUAAAAGAAAUGGUGAACUAGCAGUUUUUGUCUAAAAAAAUCCCGUUCUUCUGUACUGUAUCUUCACAAGGCCUUUGCACAGCUAUAGAGGUAUGAUUUCUACAUUUUCCUAGAUACUAUAAAUCUCUGCUUAGAUAGGCAUCCAUAUAACAAAUAUUAACAUUCCGAGAAAAAUCAAAAUCAACUUACACAUCUUUUUGGGCACGAUACCUGCAGGAAGAUGGCAACCCUCUCACUUUUCUUUUCUUGUAUAGCUGUAUUUGGAGCCAUCUGCAGGCUCCUUGGCAAUGUGUACAAAUCAGAUUUUGCUUCCCUUGACCAAGGAAGACUGGACUGAAGCCAAGUUCAAGAUGCUGCUGACACAUAAGCCCCUUCUGAGUAUCUAUGGAGAGCCCGAAGAAGCCAACGUUGAUGCUACUGCUGCUGUCAGGAUGGAGGAGAAGAACUGAUUUUCAAGAACUGGAGUAGAGAACUAGGAGAAAAAAAAUCAUUGCAAACUCUGGGAUGGAAUGACAAUAGCUCUCAAAUGUAUAUGGGCAGAUGUUUACUUCUUUCUAAAUGUCAGCAAGAAGCAAUAAACUUCAGUUUAUUGGUGACACCUCUCCACAGCGGAAAUCUGAUGUAGAGACAACUAUGACCUGAGGGCUACAUUAUUCCCAAGAAUAUAGAUAGAAGGUGAGUUAAUGCUUAUAGAUAUUUGACUUUUACACACUAAUAACUUUAUGGAAGGUGACUCAAAGGUUGGUUAUGAAUCAUGAACUUUUUUUAUUUCACUUUUGAAUUAUAUUUAAAGUUCACAUCUGCCUUAAUAAUUCAAAUUCCUACUCCAGGAACUUGUCAUAAAUAAUGGGAUAAAAUUGAUGUGACUAUUGUGCCUGAUCUUGUUUCACAAAUAAAUAAGAAGAGUCAGUCUUCAAAAUAAGUCUGUUUUCAGUCUUGUGUUUUAUAAACAAAACACAACCAAAUCUGGAGAAUAUUUUUUGCAGCAAGGAAAACUGGUAAAUCAGCUAAGAGCUAAGUUGUCAAAAGAUUUCUAAAAUUUAGGGCUACUCAUAUGCUUUAAAAUUAGUACACUUCAAAUUGUUUCCCUGGGGUGUAGUUCAGAGCCUUGAACCUCAACUCUAGCUUCAACUUCACCACAGAAAAAAAAACAAGAAAAAAAGAAUUUAUACAGUAUGUUACUGAAACACUUCUUAGGGAAGUUGUAUGCCCUAUUAUGU